GCAUAAUAAUUUGCCCGUUAAUUGCGGGCUAGAAUGAACGGGUAAACGAAAUAUAUUCUGUCUCAAAUAGAUAAAAUUAAAUUAGCAUUUAGAUGAAGAGAUCUAAAUACAAUUGAAGGACAAGAAGACCCUAUAGAGCUUUACUUAUAAAUAUAAUUAAUAUUAAAAAGUUCGGUUGGGGCGACCUAGGAAUAUUUAUCAUCCUACAAAAUAAAGAUAUAUAUAUCAAUAAAUAUGACCCUUAUAAGAUCAAAAGAUCAAGCUACCUUAGGGAUAACAGGCUAAUCCUCCCAGAGAGACCUUAUCAACAGGAGGGA
rnacentral:rRNA from 1 species